CAAGGAGAACUGAUGGAGGGUUGGAAUACUGUGGUCGAUGCCCAUAGGGUCUCCGCAUGUAGUAAGGUGGGAACCUUCGCCUGCGGUAGGACCGGCGUUGUUG